CGUGCCAGAUAUUUUGAUGUCCGUUUGAAGUUUCAUCGUGUCCCACCGUUAAUGGCAGUCGUCUUCCGCCACCUCUCGCUACUCUCCCCACUCCCUCCGCCGCCGUCGCCGUCUCGGUCCCCGUCUUCUCGCUCUUCCUCUGCUCGAUUCGCUGCUGCUGCUGCUUCUUCUUCUUCUUCUUCUCGAUCGCCGUCUCCGGCGUCACCAAUGGAAGCUGCGGACAAGUUCAUGGAGUUCCCUCACGUGUCGGCCCCGCACAGGAGCCUGAUGAUCGACCUCGUGUCCGCGGUGGAGGAGCGGCUGGGGUCUCAAUUGCUUCCCUGCGCUCUCCCGCACGAUGUCCGGUACUACCAGAGCGACGCCGGUUCGGCUCGCGGCUCUCUGUACGUCAGGCGCGGCCAGGGCCCCUCCAAGGUUGAUUUUUUGUUAGGAAGUUGGCUAAACUGUCAGCUUCCAACUGGAGGAUCACUCAACAUCACCAGCCUUUCGGUCUACCUCAACAAUUCAACCGAUGCUCCAAAUUUUCUGUUCGAACUCAUAAGGAGCAGCCCAACAUCGCUGGUCCUAAUCCUUGAUUUGCCACCUCGCAAGGACCUCGUAACUGACCCGGACUACCUUUCAACAUUCUAUGAGGAUACCCAGUUGGAGUCCCGCAGGCAAGUGCUCGACAAACUUCCAGAGGCUCAGCCUUAUUUCUCCUCGGCCCUUUACAUACGCUGCGUAGUCUCUCCCACAGCUAUCAUGCUUCGCAUAGAGAGUGGGGCAGGUAAAGCAGAACGCUUGGACGAGAUUGUCGAGAAUCACGUCUCCCCUGUUGCCAAAGAGGUCCUGGGAAUAUGGCUGGAUAAGUGUGCCGCUGUGGACAGAAAUGUGGAAGAGGAGGAGAGGGCGUACUUAGGGAGAAGGGAUGGGAUAAUCAAGAGGAAAACUAUCGAGAUCGAUCUUGGGUCCAGCUUUCCGAGGUUGUUUGGUCCGGAGAUAGCUAAGAGAGUCUUGGAUGUGCUAAGAGAGGUUUAUGGUGUAUGAACUGACGAGCCAUGGGACUGGUGUAGAAAUUCUCUCCCCCUUCACCUGUUCAUGGCGGAACUUCAGAUUGAACCUGAAGGGAAUGAAGGCCAAAGCUUCAACAGUCCCGUUCAGAUCUGUGUUCGGCACGGACAGAGCGAACUGGGCCAGCAUUUUCAAGGAAACCAAGAUUGAUGAACAGGAUUAAGGUUGUGUACGUUCAAACUCUGUCAUGUCAGCUCUACGAUGAAGUAUGGGAUUGAGAAUGUAUCCAAUCUUUCUACGAUGUUGAAGCCAA